GUGCUCGCUUCAGCAGCACAUAUACUAAAGUUGGAACGAUACAGAGAUUAGCAUGGCCCCUGCGCAAGGAGGAUGACAUGCAAAUUCGUGAAGCGUUCCAUAUUUUU
ensembl:snRNA U6 U6 spliceosomal RNA